AUGUUUACUUCAAAAGCACAUAUACUAAAAUUGCAACAGUAAAGAGAUUAGCAUAACUCCUGGUCAAGGAUGAUAUGCAAAUCUGUGAAGUAUUCCAUAUAUUA
rnacentral:snRNA from 1 species